rnacentral:rRNA from 1 species
AGUCGAGCGCCGUAGCAAUACGGAGCGGCAGACGGGAGAGUAACACGUGGGAACGUGCCCUUCAGUUCGGAACAACCCAGGGAAACUUGGGCUAAUACCGGAUACGUCCGUAAGGAGAAAGAUUUAUCGCUGAAGGAUCGGCCCGCGUCUGAUUAGCUAGUUGGUGAGGUAAUGGCUCACCAAGGCGACGAUCAGUAGCUGGUCUGAGAGGAUGAUCAGCCUCACUGGGGAUGAGACACGGCCCAGGAUCCUACGGGAGGCAGCAGUGGGGAAACAUUGGACAAUGGGCGCAAGCCUGAUCCAGCCAUGCCGCGUGGGUGAUGAAGGCCCUAGGGUUGUAAAGCCCUUUCGGCGGGGAAGAUAAUGACGGUACCCGCAGAAGAAGCCCCGGCUAACUUCGUGCCAGCAGCCGCGGUAAUACGAAGGGGGCUAGCGUUGCUCGGAAACCACUGGGCGUAAAGCGCACGUAGGCGGCUUUUUAAGUCAGGGGUGAAAUCCUGGAGCUCAACUCCAGAACUGCCCUUGAUACUGAGAAGCUUGAGUCCGGGAGAGGUGAGUGGAACUGCGAGUGUAGAGGUGAAAUUCGUAGAUAUUCGCAAGAACACCAGUGGCGAAGGCGGCUCACUGGCCCGGUACUGACGCUGAGGUGCGAAAGCGUGGGGAGCAAACAGGAUUAGAUACCCUGGUAGUCCACGCCGUA